AACGCACAUUGCGCCCGUUAGCAUUCUAGCGGGCAUGCCUGUUCGAGCAUCAUUUCAACCCUCAGACUAGUGUCUGGCGAUGGGGCCUUGCAACCGCAAGCCCUGAAAAUCAGUGGCGGGCUCUGCCGUACACCGAGCGCAGUAAUACUUUCGCUUAGGGGUGCGAUGGAAGCCUAGCCUUUAGAAAUUUCUUAUGAUUGACCUCGGAUCAGGUAGGAAUACCCGCUGAACUUAA
rnacentral:misc_RNA from 1 species